rnacentral:rRNA from 1 species
UCAUAACGACUCUCGGCAACGGAUAUCUCGGCUCUCGCAUCGAUGAAGAACGUAGCGAAAUGCGAUACUUGGUGUGAAUUGCAGAAUCCCGUGAACCAUCGAGUCUUUGAACGCAAGUUGCGCCCRAAGCCAUUAGGCCGAGGGCACGYCUGCCUGGGCGUCAC